AAUUCCGGUUGAUCCCGCCGGAGGCCACUGCUAUUGGGAUUCGACUAAGCCAUGCGAGUCUAUGGUUUCGGCCAUGGCGGACGGCUCAUUAACACGUGGUUAACAUACCCUCAGGUGGGGGAUAACCUUGGGAAACUGAGGAUAAUACCCCAUAGAAAAAGCAGUCUGGAACGAUUCUUUUUCGAAAGCAUAUGCGCCUGAGGAUUGGACUGCGCUCGAUUAGGUAGUUGGUGGGGUAAUGGCCCACCAAGCCUACGAUCGGUACGGGCCUUGAGAGAGGAAGCCCGGAGAUGGGGACUGAGACACGGCCCCAGGCCCUACGGGGCGCAGCAGGCGCGAAACCUCCGCAAUGCACGAAAGUGCGACGGGGGGAUCCCAAGUGCUCAUGCACAGCAUGGGCUUUUAUCAAGUGUAAACAGCUUGAGGAAUAAGGGCUGGGCAAGUUCGGUGCCAGCAGCCGCGGUAACACCGACGGCCCGAGUGGUGGCCACUUUUAUUGGGCCUAAAGCGUCCGUAGCCGGUCCAGUAAGUCCUUGUUUAAAUCCUGCGGCUUAACCGCAGGACUGGCAGGGAUACUGCUGGACUUGGGACCGGGAGAGGACAAGGGUACUUCAGGGGUAGCGGUGAAAUGUGUUGAUCCUUGAAGGACCACCUAUGGCGAAGGCACUUGUCUGGAACGGGUCCGACGGUGAGGGACGAAAGCCAGGGGCGCGAACCGGAUUAGAUACCCGGGUAGUCCUGGCCGUAAACUUUGCGAACUAGGUGUUAGGUGGGCCCCGUGCCCAUCUAGUGCCGAAGGGAAGCCGUUAAGUUCGCCGCCUGGGGAGUACGGUCGCAAGACUGAAACUUAAAGGAAUUGGCGGGGGAGCACCACAACGGGUGGAGCCUGCGGUUUAAUUGGAUUCAACGCCGGGCAUCUCACCAGGAGCGACAGCAUGAUGACGGCCAGGUUGACGACCUUGCCUGAAGCGCUGAGAGGUGGUGCAUGGCCAUCGUCAGCUCGUACCGCGAGGCGUCCUGUUAAGUCAGGUAACGAGCGAGACCCGUGCCCUAUGUUGCUACUUUUUCCUCCGGGAGAAAGGCACUCAUAGGGGACCGCUGGCGCUAAGUCAGAGGAAGGAGCGGGCAACGAUAGGUCCGCAUGCCCCGAAUCUCCUGGGCUACACGCGGGCUACAAUGGCUAGGACAAUGGGCCGCAACCCUGAAAAGGGACGCAAAUCUCCUAAACCUAGUCGUAGUUCGGAUCGUGGGCUGUAACUCGCCCACGUGAAGCUGGAAUCCGUAGUAAUCGCAGUUCAUAAUACUGCGGUGAAUGUGUCCCUGCUCCUUGCACACACCGCCCGUCACACCACCCGAGUUGGGUUGAAGUGAGGCCUUGGCCUUUGGCUAGGGUCGAACUUGGGCUCAGCGAGGGGGGUGAAGUCGUAACAAGGUAGCCGUAGGGGAACCUGCGGCUGGAUCACCUCCUAAAAAAAGAACAAU
rnacentral:rRNA from 1 species